rnacentral:tRNA from 1 species
UCCCUGAAGGAGUAGUGGUUAGGCUUCGGCAUUCUCAUCGCUGUGGCCUGGGGUCGAUUCCCGGCCAGGGAA